rnacentral:rRNA from 1 species
GAUGAACGCUGGCGGCGUGCCUAAUACAUGCAAGUCGAGCGAACGGACGAGAAGCUUGCUUCUCUGAUGUUAGCGGCGGACGGGUGAGUAACACGUGGAUAACCUACCUAUAAGACUGGGAUAACUUCGGGAAACCGGAGCUAAUACCGGAUAAUAUUUUGAACCGCAUGGUUCAAAAGUGAAAGACGGUCUUGCUGUCACUUAUAGAUGGAUCCGCGCUGCAUUAGCUAGUUGGUAAGGUAACGGCUUACCAAGGCAACGAUUCAUAGCCGACCUGAGAGGGUGAUCGGCCACACUGGAACUGAGACACGGUCCAGACUCCUACGGGAGGCAGCAGUAGGGAAUCUUCCGCAAAGGGCGAAAGCCUGACGGAGCAACGCCGCGUGAGUGAUGAAGGUCUUCGGAUCGUAAAACUCUGUUAUUAGGGAAGAACAUAUGUGUAAGUAACUGUGCACAUCUUGACGGUACCUAAUCAGAAAGCCACGGCUAACUACGUG